rnacentral:rRNA from 1 species
UACGGAGGGGGCUAGCGUUGCUCGGAAUUACUGGGCGUAAAGGGCGCGUAGGCGGAUCGUUUAGUCAGAGGUGAAAUCCCAGGGCUCAACCCUGGAAUUGCCUUUGAUACUGGCGAUCUUGAGUGUGAGAGAGGUAUGUGGAACUCCGAGUGUAGAGGUGAAAUUCGUAGAUAUUCGGAAGAACACCAGUGGCGAAGGCGACAUACUGGCUCAUUACUGACGCUGAGGCGCGAAAGCGUGGGGAGCAAACAGG